UUCAUGUUUAAGGCCACCUGUGAUUCAUCUCUCUCUGGCGAUGCUCGACUCUUCAUAAAUCUCCUGAGGGAACGUCGGCCUCUUCAGACUCUAAAUAUCACCGGCUGCUCUCUGACUGUGUCUGUCUGCUGUUGGGAGCCCAGCAUGGGAGGUCUAAACCUGCUGAGUCAGGAGAGUGACUCCAGAGGCACAGACGGAGAGUAAAACUGAAGAAUGAACAGAUUCACGGAGGUUGACUUCACAUAUUUUCAGAUUUUUUGUUCAUGCUGAGGAAAAUCGAUACCGGUCGAGCAAGUAGCUGCCAAGAAAAAUUUCUCCGAUCUUUCUCUUUUCGUCCGUCUUUAAAACCUUUCUCUGAAUGUUCAACUUCUCAAACAUUUCAAAAACAUGAUUUAGUGAUCAACACACA